rnacentral:rRNA from 1 species
CCUACGGGAGGCAGCAGUGGGGAGUAUUGGACAAUGGGGGCAACCCUGAUCCAGCAAUGCCGCGUGGGUGAUGAAGGCCUUCGGGUUGUAAAGCCCUUUCGGCGGGGACGAUGAUGACGGUACCCGCAGAAGAAGCCCCGGCUAACUUCGUGCCAGCAGCCGCGGUAAUACGAAGGGGGCUAGCGUUGUUCGGAAUGACUGGGCGUAAAGGGCGCGUAGGCGGCGAUUUUAGUCAGGCGUGAAAGCCCUGGGCUCAACCUAGGAACUGCGUUUGAUACUGGAUCGCUUGAGUGUGGGAGAGGAUGGUGGAAUUCCCAGUGUAGAGGUGAAAUUCGUAGAUAUUGGGAAGAACACCGGUGGCGAAGGCGGCCAUCUGGACCACUACUGACGCUGAGGCGCGAAAGCGUGGGGAGCAAACAGGAUUAGAUACCCUGGUAGUCCACGCUGUAAACGAUGUGUGCUAGACGUUGGGGGGUUGCCCUCCGGUGUCGCAGUCAACGCGUUAAGCACACCGCCUGGGGAGUACGGUCGCAAGAUUAAAACUCAAAGGAAUUGACGG